AGGAAUAUUGGUCAAUGGACGAGAGUCUGAACCAGCCAAGUAGCGUGAAGGAUGACUGCCCUAUGGGUUGUAAACUUCUUUUAUACGGGAAUAAAGUUAGCCACGUGUGGCUUUUUGUAUGUACCGUAUGAAUAAGGAUCGGCUAACUCCGUGCCAGCAGCCGCGGUAAUACGGAGGAUCCGAGCGUUAUCCGGAUUUAUUGGGUUUAAAGGGAGCGUAGGCGGGUUGUUAAGUCAGUUGUGAAAGUUUGCGGCUCAACCGUAAAAUUGCAGUUGAUACUGGAUAUCUUGAGUGCAGUUGAGGCAGGCGGAAUUCGUGGUGUAGCGGUGAAAUGCUUAGAUAUCACGAAGAACUCCGAUUGCGAAGGCAGCCUGCUAAGCUGCAACUGACAUUGAGGCUCGAAAGUGUGGGUAUCAAACAGGAUUAGAUACCCUGGUAGUCCACACGGUAAACGAUGAAUACUCGCUGUUUGCGAUAUACAGCAAGCGGCCAAGCGAAAGCGUUAAGUAUUCCACCUGGGGAGUACGCCGGCAACGGUGAAACUCAAAGGAAUUGACGGGGGCCCGCACAAGCGGAGGAACAUGUGGUUUAAUUCGAUGAUACGCGAGGAACCUUACCCGGGCUUAAAUUGCAGAUGAAUUACGGUGAAAGCCGUAAGCCGCAAGGCAUCUGUGAAGGUGCUGCAUGGUUGUCGUCAGCUCGUGCCGUGAGGUGUCGGCUUAAGUGCCAUAACGAGCGCAACCCUUGUUGUCAGUUACUAACAGGUUCCGCUGAGGACUCUGACAAGACUGCCAUCGUAAGAUGUGAGGAAGGUGGGGAUGACGUCAAAUCAGCACGGCCCUUACGUCCGGGGCUACACACGUGUUACAAUGGGGGGUACAGAGGGCCGCUACCACGCGAGUGGAUGCCAAUCCCAAAAACCUCUCUCAGUUCGGACUGGAGUCUGCAACCCGACUCCACGAAGCUGGAUUCGCUAGUAAUCGCGCAUCAGCCACGGCGCGGUGAAUACGUUCCCG
rnacentral:rRNA from 1 species